GCUUUCGUAACGUUUAAUUUAGCUAUGCUUUACGCGACAGAGGAUGCGAAAGAACAAGCGCAUAAACCAUUGGAUAAAAUAUUUAACAUUGCUGAUCAAUUUCAAGCAAUUUACCAACUUAAGAAAAUAAAUUAUUCAUUGUUAUCAAGCGGUCGAUUGAUAUAUAAUGGCAAAGCAGAAUAGCGUAAUAUGUAUCGAUCGAUCGUUAUUCAGAUGUAACUUGUCUUGGGAAUGAUGCUUAUGCAUUGAUUCAGGUAGAAUUGCCGUCGCAAUUUCAACGAUGUCGAAAGAACUAAAAAUAUAUCGAAAGUAUGCUAGUUUCGUAAAACGUUUUCUCCUCCUUAGUGGGAUGUGUCCGAUUACGAAGGAGCGGGAUGUAUUUUAUCGGUGCAUAUCAAUUUGGUCGAUAUUUUCCUCUUUCAUUUCACUCUGUGUCGUAGGAAAUUUUUGCUCACAGAAUGUUCAGAAUAUCGCUUUGCUUACCGCUUCGUUUUCCCUCUUCUGUGCCAUAUUGAAUACAACUACGAAGGCUUGCUGCUUUUUUAUCUAUCAAAAUAAACUACAACAAGCAAAUGAUAUACUCAGUUCUAUGUUGGAACAAGCACUAAGCGAAACAGAUAUAAGAUCAAUAGCUUUUUCCUGGGUUCGAACGUUUUAUCGAUUGAUUUAUCUACAGUUUACGUUAAUGACAAUCAACAGCACUAUACACGCAUUUAAACCGUUGAUUACGAGAAUACUUUACGACGCGAACAAUACAACGAAUCUACAAUAUCCUUUACCCUUUCCUGCAAGUUAUCCUUGGACGAUUGAUUCAAUGUUAGUCUGGCAAUUGCAUUAUCUCUUUGAUUUGAAUAUUGUUUGGAAUAUAAUCUCUGUAUCUACCGGCGUAGAUGGAUUUUUCAGCUUUUGCUUAUUUCGUAUAUCGGUAAUGUUACGUUUGUUGGGUUUUGAGUUCGAGAUGAGAUUUUCAACUGACGAGAAGGAUAAGGCGAAUAAAGAGUAUGAGGAGAAUCGUAAACGGAUCUUUCAAGAAUGCGUCAACAAGCACGCUCUGUUACUGAAAUGUCGAGACAUCGUUCAAGAAGCUUACGGACCCGUCAUACUAUUAACAACAAUAACGAGCGCAACGAGUCUAUGUACUUUAAUAUUUCAGGUUUUGCAGGUCAGAGGACAAAUCAUCGAUAAAAUCAUAAUUUGUAUUGUUUUCAUUUUUAUGAAAUUAUUACAAACGUUCCUGUACGCCUGGCCUGCAGACGUAAUUCUUACCGAGCGAACGACCGAACGAAUGGAUAAUCAAUUAUAUUAUACGUGGACUUGCGAUCAGCCUCCUUUAAUCUUCGUUUCCUUCGUAGAGCGAUCGUUUUCGUCGCAAGGUUUAUUUUAGCGAUUGGUACAAACACAAGGAUAUUAGUUUCGCAAAAGGCUUUACGCUGAUAUUAGCACAGAGAUCGAUCGUUCUGAAAGCGUGUGAUUUGAUGCAAGUUUCAUUGGAUCUUUUUGUUAAGGUUUUGAAUACCGCAGUAUCCUACUAUUUCUUGUUAGAAACCAUUGAUAAGGAUAAAUAAUAUAAAUGAAACUGGUACUGAUAUAGUAUUACGAUAGUAAGAGUACCUAAUAAUGAUGAUUACGAUGAUAAUAAUAGGGGAAAAAGAUAUCGAAAAGAAAAGGCAUAAUAGCUUUGUAAAAUGCAGUUCUCGACGAUUUUCAAGCUGCAAAAUGAUUUGUACGAAUUGUGUAUUUGCCCAAUCAUAGGUAGAGCAACAGCAAGGUACCAAGUCAACGCUGUUUUUUCUCUUCUCUCUUGGUAGAUGGCAAAUAAAAGCAAGAUAAUACGUAUUACAAAUAUA